GUGUCAGCAGCCGCGGUAAAACGUAGGAGCCAAGCGUUAUCCGAAUUCACUGGGCGUAAAGCGCGUGUAGGCGGUCCGGUAAGUUGGCUGUGAAAUCUCCCGGCUCAACUGGGAGGGGACGGUCAAGACUGUCGGACUGGAGGACGGUAGAGGGAGGUAGAAUUCCCGGUGUAGUGGUGAAAUGCGUAGAUAUCGGGAGGAAUACCAGUGGCGAAGGCGGCCUCCUGGGCCGUUCCUGACGCUCAGACGCGAAAGCUAGGGGAGCAAACGGGAUUAGAUACCCCAGUAGUCC
rnacentral:rRNA from 1 species